rnacentral:rRNA from 1 species
AUUGAACGCUGGCGGAAUGCUUUACACAUGCAAGUCGAACGGCAGCACGGACUUCGGUCUGGUGGCGAGUGGCGAACGGGUGAGUAAUGUAUCGGAACGUGCCCAGUCGUGGGGGAUAACGUAGUGAAAAUUACGCUAAUACCGCAUACGAUCUAUGGAUGAAAGCGGGGGAUCGCAAGACCUCGCGCGAUUGGAGCGGCCGAUAUCAGAUUAGGUAGUUGGUGGGGUAAAGGCCCACCAAGCCAACGAUCUGUAGCUGGUCUGAGGGGACGACCAGCCAGACUGGAACUGGGACACGGUCCAGACUCCUACGGGAGGCAGCAGUGGGGAAUUUUGGACAAUGGGCGAAAGCCUGAUCCAGCCAUUCCGCGUGCAGGAUGAAGGCCCUCGGGUUGUAAACUGCUUUUGUACAGAACGAAAAGGUUUCUACUAAUACUAGGAGCUCAUGACGGUACUGUAAGAAUAAGCACCGGCUAACUACGUGCCAGCCGCCGCCGUAA